rnacentral:rRNA from 1 species
UCGAGAAUCUUUCGCAAUGGGCGCAAGCCUGACGAAGCGACGCCGUGUGGGCGAAGAAGGCCUUCGGGUUGUAAAGCUCUUUCGCUAGGGAACAAGAGAUGUACGAUAACACCGUACAAAUUUGAUGGUACUUGGUAAAGAAGCACCGGCUAACUCCGUGCCAGCAGCUGCGGUAAUACGGAGGGUGCAAGCAUUGAUCGGAAUUAUUGGGCGUAAAGGGCGCGUAGGCGGUCAGAUCAGUCAGAUGUGAAAUUCCGGGGCUCAACCCCGGAGCUGCAUUUGAAACUAUUUGACUAGAGUAUACUUAGGGAAAACGGAAUUCCACGUGUAGCGGUGAAAUGCGUAGAUAUGUGGAAGAACACCGGUGGUGAAGACGGUUUUCUGGGGUAAAACUGACGCUGAGGCGCGAAAGCUAGGGGAGCAAACAG